UACAGGGGGGGCAAGCGUUGUUCGGAAUUACUGGGCGUAAAGGGCUUGUAGGCGGCCAACUAAGUCACACGUAAAAUCCCCAGGCUUAACCUGGGAACUGCGUGUGAUACUGGAUGGCUUGAAUUCGGGAGAGGGAUGCAGAAUUCCAGGUGUAGCGGUGAAAUGCGUAGAUAUCUGGAGGAAUACCGGUGGCGAAGGCGGCAUCCUGGACCGACAUUGACGCUGAGGAGCGAAAGCUAGGGGAGCGAACAGG
rnacentral:rRNA from 1 species